CAUUUGUUGCUAUGACUAGUGCAGAAUUCUGCACCAUUCUUGGAUGAGUUACUGGUCACAUAAUAUCGAGGGUGUCAGCUUUUUGAGAUGAUCCUAAUUAUCCUAUAGAGUACAGACUGAAGCUAGUAUAUCAAUGGGAAAUAUUCUCUCCGUGGAUUAAUAAGGAUCCACAGAAUACAGAAGUUGGAGGUGAAUUAUUUUCGACGCCAUUGACCUGAAACACCAUCUAGGGGAUCAUACUUAUGUCUCAGUAACUGAUAGUGGUUACUGGCAGAUAGAGCUAGAAGGUCUUGACAUUGCAAACAGUUCAACAGGUCACUGUUCGGCAGAAUACUGCAUCAUGUGAAGAGAUGGCUACAACAAUGUCUACGGCAGAAUCUGUAGCUCUUAAAGGACUACCUCAAUGCAUUGUUACUGUGAUAGCUGAGUUUGCCAGAUUCAGCAAGACUUUGAUAUUAUACUGGAGCCAUGUCCCAUGUUUGCUGAAGCCAUCCUUCAAGUCAGAAUCAGUACCCUGGGGUGCUCCUAAUAAGCUUCUUGGAGCUGAUGGCAGCUGGAUAAGGCACUGUGUCAUGUUCCUGAGUGGCUGACCUCAUGAGAUAAUAAAAUCAACCUUCAGAAGUGACAGAGAUGCCAGCUGCUCCUGUACACCCUUUCCACUCCAAGAUGAACAUUCGAAGAGGGGUACUAGAAGAAGAAUGUGCAGACAUAAUGCAGCACUUCUCCCGACUCAAAAGGAGGAAGGCAAAGGAAAAGGAAAAGGAAAAGGAUAUAUCGUCAUCUGAUGAAUCAGGCCAACGGUUUAGGUUUGCUUGAAAGGUUAAACCUGAUUUAUAUUCUUGUCUGAAGAUAUUGGGAUUAUGUGUGUCUGCUAUAUAAGUUGUCAAAUGUUUUCGGUUUCGCGUGGAAAAUAUCAAAUGUCUGCUAUAUAAGGUAGCUUAUUGAAUGUUUGGCACGGCAGUUAACCUGUCCUAUCACUAUUUAGGUGGUUUGUUUUUGUAAACAUAUGAUGGUUGAUUUAUAUGUGAAAAUCAAAGUUUCUUGGAA